rfam:Lactobacillus saerimneri 30a contig00017, whole genome shotgun sequence.
CGGUUGUUAGUAAUUAUCGUCAAUAACGUUAGUUACUAGAUGAUUGUACUUCAUAACGUAGCCGUUCGCCGUGCCCACACCGAAUGGUUACGCUUUUUU